UGGAUCUGAUUUAACUUAGUGGCGGACGGGUGAGUAAUGCGUGAGCAACCUGCCCUUCAGAGGGGGACAACAGUUGGAAACGACUGCUAAUACCGCAUAACACAUAGGUGUCGCAUGGCACUUAUGUCAAAGAUUUAUCGCUGAAAGAUGGCCUCGCGUCUGAUUAGCUAGUUGGUGAGGUAACGGCCCACCAAGGCGACGAUCAGUAGCCGGACUGAGAGGUUGAACGGCCACACUGGAACUGAGACACGGUCCAAACUCC
rnacentral:rRNA from 1 species